rnacentral:rRNA from 1 species
UAAGAGAAGUUUUUUAAUAAACGAAGUGAAUUGAAAUAUCUUAGUAACUUCAGGAAAAGAAAUCAAAAGAGAUUCUAUAAGUAGCGUGAGUGAAAGUAGAGGAGCCUAUUUAAUAAUAAGUAAAAUGGUUUAGAAACUGUUUGAAUUUAUUGUCUGAUCCCUGUAAGGGAAAGGGCCCGGGGAACCUUCCUCAAAGGCUAAAUAUAAUACAUAAGCGAUAGUGAAUAGUAUCGUGAGAUAAUGAUUAGAAUUAGUAGUUUUAUAAGCAGUUCGAGCCAAAGUGAGAACGUACCUUUUGCAUAAUGGGUCACCAAGUUAACAUUAGAUGCGAGUGAAAGCGUAGGUAAACCAAUCGUUAAAAUAACGAAGAGUGUCUAAAGUUAGACCCGAAGCCUGGUGAUUUUACCAUAAUCAGGAUUAUAAAAGUCCGAACGGGUUAUCGUUGUAAAGAUAUCCGAAGAAUUAUGGUAGGUAGUGAAAGACAACACUGACUAGGAUAGCUGGUUUUCUGCGAAACCUAUAACAGUAGGCAAUUUGAGUAACAUCUUAGCAGGUACAGAAUUUAAUCUCAGACAAGAUGUUCUAAUUUUAGUUCGGCCACGAACUAAAACAACAUGUUGAUUUGUAUAUAUCGGGGGAUCGUGAAGAUUUUAUCGGUGAGUAUGUAGACUCGGAAUGGCAAAGAUGGAUCUUGAAUUAUCAGACAUAGAAUGAUAAGGUUGUAUGUCAAAAGGGAAACAGCCCAGAACAAGAGUUAAGGUUCCAAAAUUAUUAGUUAAGUGAAAUUAAGAAGGUUAUUAUUAAAGUCGACAAGGAGAUGGGCUUAGAAGCAGCCAAAUUUUGAAGACCUCGUAACAGAGCGCUUGUUAAGUUUUAAAAGCAUCGAAAAUUUAACGGAUCUAAACAAUAUACCGACACCUUGUCCAUAUUUUACUAUAUAUAUAUAUUAUUGUAAUUUAGUGGGGUAGCAGAACGUUGAAUUAAAUUAGGAUAUUUCUUCUGUGAAGAAAUAUAUAACAAACAAUUCAAGUGAGAAUGGUGACAUGAGUAACGAAUAAGAAGGACAUUUUACCGAAAAAGCCUAGUAAAAUCUCUACGUAUCAUAACUAUGGUAAAUAGGGAUUCCCUCCCUCUGGGAGGGGUCGCCUCUUUCUUUAAAGAGUAGUAAUCUUCUUUAUGAUGAUUACUUCGAGUUACUAGGUAUUUUAGUAAGUACUAAAUCCUCCGCCUAAAGCUUAUGGAUGGAAAAAUAUGCCCCUUAAAGUAACGGCCUCUAAGUUAUAAAUCUAAAGGUUUAAACGAUGAGAAAAUCUUUUUUACUAAAUGACAACACUUACAAGUGAUAAGUGUGCUGGAAAAAAUAGUAAUAUAUUUUGUUAAGUAUAUACAAUAAACUAAAGAGAUGAGUAUAGAAAGAGAAGAUGAAAAAAUAACCGUACCUAGAAACUAAAACAAGUAAGCUAGUAGAGAAUACGAAGGCGUAAAUGAGCUAACAAUCAUAAAGGAACUCGGCAAACUAACUACCGUAACUUCGGGAUAAGGAGAGCUCAUUAGUCCUGAUUAAUAUCGGGUAAAAAGGAAGAAGCAUAAAAUAGUGUUGUACGACUGUUUAAUUAAAACACAGCACUUUGCUAAAAGAUUAAAAAUCGAAGUAUUGAGUGUGAUGUCUGCCCGAUGCCGGCUGGUUAACGAAUAUAACUAAAUUGAUCAAUAAAUUUGGUGUUGAAGGAACCCCCGGUUAAUGGCGGCCUUAACGUGAGGGUCCUAAGGUAGCGAAAUGCCUUGGCCGUUAAAUGCGGUCUUGCAUGAAUGAUGUAACGAUACAACAGCUGUCUCUAUGAUUGACUCAGUGAAAUUGGAAUAACUGUGCAGAUACAGUUUACCUCUAGUUAGACGAGAAGACCCUAUGCAGCUUUACUGUUACUAAUUAUAGGGUAUGAUGAAUUAAUUUUCAGAUUAUAAGGUACAUUGAUUCAAUAAAAAUGAAAAUCCUUUAUUUUCACGUCAUACUUCAGAAUUAAUUUUGGAAAUUCACCUGGCUGGAAUGGCGACUUCGUCAUUUAGGCGGGAGUGAAAGAAAAGAUUAACCUAGUCUGACAUAUAAGUAGCCUUAGGUAAGGAAUAUAUUGUUAGGAGACAGUUUAUGUGGGGCACAGACCCCUUAAAGAGUAAAAGGGAGUGUCUAAAAUUUAUUUGUUAUAAAAUUUAUAACGUUGUUUGUGGUUUUAUGUAGUUUUACUAUAUUUAAUCUUAUGAAAUUCACUUUAUCUACCCUUGUUGUAGAUACGGAUGGAUCUAAGGUACGAUUUUCACUAUGGUGAAAGUAGCGGUAUAGAAAAAAAUAUUAUGAAUAGCGACGUCGUCGCUAUUCUAAUGUUUUUGGAGUUAUUAGGUGACUGGUCGGGAACCCCCCCCCGCUCUUAAUAAUAAUGAUAAAUACUUGAAAAGCUCAACGGCUAAUUCGUGCCAUACUGUUUGAUUAACAACAAAUCUUACAGUUGCGUAAGCAGGGCAUAGGAUCACAAGAUGCAAAAAGGAAAGAUCUUGGAUUAUUGGAAAAGCUACGCUAGGGAUGUUUGUCCUUCAAUAUUUUUAAACCCUCGACCUAGCCCCAGGGCCGUAAGGCCGGAGGCGAAAGAGAGAAAAGUUAAAAUUAUUGAGAAUAUAUUGGGUUAAUUUCAAGAAUUACUUAUAUAAGUAGAUUUGAAGCGAAAUUUAUCUUGGCAUAAUUAUAUAAGAUAAAAUCGUUCAACGACUAUAAGGUGAGUUAUGCUAACAAUAAUCCUUUUUAACACCCAACAUUUUUAUUACCAUACACUUAUAAAAAAAAGAUAAAAAGAAAGAAAAUUUCAUUUUAUGAAAACGAAAGCUCUAAAUACAAAUGCUAAAAUUUUUCGUUCUAAUUUAAACAAUAAGUUUAAAUUAACACCGUUUAAUCUUCAAUUAAAUGAUUUAGGUAGAGUAAAAUACUUACCUCCUGUGUCUAAAGAAUGAAAAAAUACAAUCUAUUCAUAUUAUAAAAAAAAUAUGCAAAACUUACCUAUAGAUAAUAUAAAUGCGAAUAAAGUAAUACAAAGUUAUUUUAAUUUAUAUUUUGAUAAUAAAUUUCAAGGAUCAAGAUUGAUAUCUCCUAAAACAAGAAGUUUAUUAUUAAAAAAAAUCUAUGUAAGUAAAAUGGAAACAAAACAUACAAAUUCUAAAGCUAUAGUAACUUUAUACACUAUUAAUGCAGAGAAGAAUAAUGUAUAUCAAGAAUAUUUUAAACAUUUAAAUGAUUGUGAAGAUGAAUUCUUAACUUUAUUUAAAGAUGAAUUAAAAAACAUAAUUCAUGGUGCUAACUCUUCAGGAGCCCAGGAGUUACAAGCUAAUACAAAUAAUAUUACUUUAGUAGCCUUAGGUUCUAAAAACGAAGAUCAAAAACAAAUUCUUUUUUCUAAAUAUAAAUUUUUAACAGAGUCUUUAGAAUGUUUUAAUUUAUAUUUAAGAUUAUAUUUAAGCAUCCAAUUUAAAGAAUCAUAUUCGGAUAAAUUGGAUUUAUUAAGAAAAUACGAAUUAAAUUAUUAUUUAAAUAAAUUGAAAUUUGAAAAUAUUUACUUACAUAAAUUAAGUAGUAUUUUAUCUAAAAUUUUUAAUAAAAAUAUCGAAUUUAAUAUAAUAAAUUUGAAAUCUUUGGCUUUUAACCCUGAAAUUUUUACUCAAGCUUUAACUUUAAAAUUAAGAAAACCUAAAUCUCAGGUUAUAAGAGUAAUGGAUAGUUUAUUAAAAGUAGCCAAAUUACCUCAAGUUAAUAGAAUUCAGGAAAAAGCUAUUAUGGUUAAAUCUAAAGAUUUCUCUUUAUUACAAAAUGCUUAUCCUAAUUUAAGUUUAGUUUCUAUAUUAAAGGACUCUAAAUUAAUAAAUUCAGGUUCUUAUAAUUCAUUAUUGGAAGCCAAAUCUUAUAAUACUAUAGCAGCACAAACUUCAGUUAACGACUCACAGCAUAGUAGAUACUAUAGCAAUAUUUCUAAUAUAAUAUUUAAUUCUAUUAAAUAUAAAAAUUUAGGAGGUGUAAGAUUAGAAGUUAAAGGAAGAUUAACAAGACGUAAUAGAGCAGAUAGAUCUGUAUUUAAAUUUAAAUGAAAAGGAGGAUUAAGAAAUAUAGAUUCUUCUUUUAAAAAAUUAUCUACAGUAACAUACAGAGGUUAUUAUAAACCAAAUGUAAUGUAUUCAUUAUCUGCAUCAAAACGUCGUGUAGGAUCUUUCGCAGUAAAAGGUUGAGUAAGUGGUAAAUAAGCAUAUUUCGUAGCGAUUACGUAGACUAAAUAAGUUAUGGUUGGGAGCGCGUGCUAUAAGUCGCUCUAAUAAAAAUGAAGACAUAGUCUGAACCAUUUUGUGAAAAAUGGAAAUAAAAUUUAUUAUGAUAACAUGUAGAACAGGCUAAUUUGCGCAAGAGUGUACAAAAUGAGUGCGCGGUUUGGCACCUCGAUGUCGGCUUAACUUAUCCUCAUGGAUGCAGAAACUAUGUAGGGUACGACUGUUCGUCGAUUAAAAAGUUACAUGAGCUGGGUUAAAUACGUCGUGAGACAGUAUGGUUUCUAUCUUCUAGAGGGAAUUUGAAUAAAAUAAGGAUUAACCUUUGUACGAAAGGAACAGGAAAAACUUAACCCAAAAGGUUAGGUUAUAUUAAUUGUUAACCUCUGGUUUACCUGUUGUUUAUAAGCCCAAUAUUAAUUUAUUCUAAAAAUUUAUGAUUUUUAUAAGGGAUGUUACUUACACUAAAGUAAAUAUAUAUUAUAGGCACGGCAGGAAAGCUAAGUUAGUUAAAGAUAAGUGCUGAAAGCAUAUAGGCACGAAGCUUACCUUAAGAUAUUUCUAAUUCACGUAAUAUACUAUUACGGCAUAAUAUUAAUAUUAUUGCAAUAGGCUUUGUUUGUAAUGAUCUAGAGAUCUUAAGA